GUCCUUUUGUAGUUCAUAAGCAUGAUGAUUGGGCUUUCAUGUGAAUGUAUGAGAUGUGCCAAGUGUCUCCCUCAAACCUUGUUACAAAAUUAAUAAAAUCUAAAA